rnacentral:ncRNA from 1 species
UUCAUUAGCAUGAAGAACCUUACCAGGGCUUGACAUGCCGUGAAUCCUCUUGAAAGAGAGGGGUGCCCUUGGGAACACGGACGCAGGUGGUGCAUGCCUGUCGUCAGCUCGUGCCGUAAGGUGUGUAUAUGAACAAUAAACACCGAUAUAAUAAUAAUAAGAUAAAUUUAUUAUUCUUAAAGUCAUACAAGAAAGUUAAUAGUCAUUCCCAAUCCUCCCGGAG